rnacentral:lncRNA from 10 species
AGAAACACUCUGCUACAGAACAAGUGUCUUGGUUCACAGCAAAGAGGACAAAGAAAACAGCAAGUUUUAGGGGGUUGAAUCCUGGAUUGUGAAAUGUUGGUGCCAAAUGAACUUUUCUGGUUCUUCUGAAUAUGCCACUGUUGCUGGAGAAAUGUCACUGCUAGAGAACAGAAGACUAUUAUUCCAAAGGGUAUUUGAGACUGACUGAAUCAGGUCUGGAACAUUAUUGAAAUGAGACCCACAAAAGAAGAGAUACUGAGAUCAUUUGCUCCAGAAGAAGCUGGUUGCCAUGUCUUGAGGACAGUAAACCCUCUGGGGAGGUUCCUGUGGUAAGGAACAAGGGCUCCUGGCAAUAGCCUCUGAGUGAGCCACCUUGAAAAUGGAUUGUCCAGCCCCAGUCAAGCUUUCAGAUGACUGUAGCUCCUGCCAAUGUCUUCACCACAACCUCAUGAGAUCCCAAGCUACAACCACUCAGUUAAGUUAUGCCAAAAUUCCUGAUUCACAGAAAUUGACAUACAGGAGAGGUCACAGUUAAGAUCUUGAUGUUCUAUCUUGACCCAUAAUAUAGGAACUUCAUCUUUUGGGAAGCACCAGGGAGAGCUGCCUGUGCCUGGCAGAAGCUGCCCAUGCCCCACUGAUACCCCACAGUACUUCCUGUUCUGCUUAGUACUCCUGCUUCUUUCUACAAACAACUGUGAUUCUCUACCUGGGAGCUUCCUCUGGCCACAGGAGCCUGCUCACCUGAUUGGGACACCCUAGCAGUACUGGCUCAUAGAUGGAAGGGACUUGCCUUGUCGCUGAUGAGACUUUCGACUUGGACUUUUGAGUCAAUGCUGGAAUGAGUUAAGACUUUGGGGAACUGUUGGAAGGGUGUGAUUGUGUUUUGAAUUGUGAGGACAUGAGAUUUUGAAGAGGCUAAUGGCAGCGUCCCCACCUAAAUCUCUUCUUGAAUUGUAGUUCCCAUAAUCCCCACGUGUCGUGGGGUGGAGCCGGUGGAGAUAAUUGAAUCAUGGGAACACUUUCCCCCAUGCUGUUAUUGUGAUUGUGAAUUCUCACGAGAUCUGAUGGUUGUAUAAACGCCUUCCCUCUUCGCUGGGCACUCAUUUUUCUCCUUCCUGCCACCAUGUGAAGAAGGAUAUGCUUGCUUCUUGUGCCAUGAUUACAAGAACACACUCAGAAAUUUUCUCAACACAGUUUCUAUGCAGAGAAGAGAUGUGGGACAGAUUUGAACUGCUGUCAUAUUUGUAUGAACCCAAGACAUUUUCCAAGACCAAGAGGGAUAAAGACAGCAAUUUCUAUGACUGGCAUUUUACGUGCAUGCACUGUUUCCAAGUGUUCUUGUGUUCUGUGCCUUAAACAUUCUGUGUUGCAACUUUAUGAAUUGAAUUAAAGAUAAUCCCAAGCCCCCAAUUGUCUCAAAAAGUGAAAAAGUAAAUGUUAUAGAAAGAAAAGCGGGAAAAACUUUAAGCAUGAAAUAAAAGAUGGGUUGUGAUAAAAGAGGACUGAAGAAGGAAAAGGAAUGAAAGGUUCUGCCAUCCUUCAUGGCAGCCCACUCCACUUGGUAUGAGAUACUGCUCCCUUGGCUGAAAGUUAACUGCUGUACUCCCUCCACUUUCUAUAAAUGACUCCCUGUGCCUUUCCUUCACCACACAACUCACACUCUCUUCCUUCCUAGUGAGUCCACUAAGGCUUCACUGCAUUAUUACAUUUAUUUCAUUUAGGAAAAACUGACUUUAUUUUCCUUCAAAUUGUUUUUUAUUGUUUAUAUGAGCU